rnacentral:miRNA from 1 species
AGGUAGAGAGGAAGGGGUUGC